rnacentral:rRNA from 1 species
AACGAACGCUGGCGGCAUGCUUCAUACAUGCAAGUCGAACGGUUGUAGCAAUACAAUAGUGGCGAACGGGUGCGUAACACGUGGAUAAUCUGCCCUUUGGCGGGGGAUAUCGGCUGGAAACGGCCGGCAAUACCGCAUGUGGCCUACGGAGUUCCGAUUCUGUAGAAGAAAGGCGCUUCACGGCGUCGCCAGAGGAUGAGUCCGCGGCCCAUUAGCUAGUUGGUGAGAUAAUAGCCCACCAAGGCUGUGAUGGGUAGCCGAGCUGAGAGGUUGAUCGGCCACACUGGGACUGAGACACGGCCCAGACACCUACGGGUGGCAGCAGUAGGGAAUAUUGGACAAUGGGCGAAAGCCUGAUCCAGCAAUGCCGCGUGAGUGACGAAGGAUUUCGGUCUGUAAAGCUCUUUUGUGAGGGAAGAAAUGACGCGUGAGGAAAUGCUCGCGUCUUGACGGUACCUCAUGAAU